rnacentral:siRNA from 1 species
CUCGAUGGUUCACGGGAUUCUG